rnacentral:tRNA from 1 species
GCGCCCGUAGCUCAAUUGGAUAGAGCACCUGAUUACGGAUCAGGAGGUUGGGGGUUCGAGUCCCUCCGGGCGUG